AUUGAACGCUGGCGGCAUGCCCUACACAUGCAAGUCGAACGGCAGCACGGGUGCUUGCACCUGGUGGCGAGUGGCGAACGGGUGAGUAAUACAUCGGAACAUGUCCUGUAGUGGGGGAUAGCCCGGCGAAAGCCGGAUUAAUACCGCAUACGAUCUACGGAUGAAAGCGGGGGCCCUUCGGGCCUCGCGCUAUAGGGUUGGCCGAUGGCUGAUUAGCUAGUUGGUGGGGUAAAGGCCUACCAAGGCGACGAUCAGUAGCUGGUCUGAGAGGACGACCAGCCACACUGGAACUGAGACACGGCCCAGACUCCUACGGGAGGCAGCAGUGGGGAAUUUUGGACAAUGGGCGAAAGCCUGAUCCAGCAAUGCCGCGUGUGUGAAGAAGGCCUUCGGGUUGUAAAGCACUUUUGUCCGGAAAGAAAUCCUUGGCCCUAAUACGGUCGGGGGAUGACGGUACCGGAAGAAUAAGCACCGGCUAACUACGUG
rnacentral:rRNA from 1 species